GGAAUUAGUAAACAAAGUUCUGAUCAAAGGUUUUAUGUUCAGAAGAGGCAGAGAGUUCUGGUUGUAUGAAAUCAUAUCUUUAUUAAGAAGAUGAAUAAGUCAGCGCUCCUUUUCUUGCUUGUCAUCGGACUUCUUGUAAACACCAAAACUACGAUUGCUAAGCAUUAUUUCAAUCAAAAAAAGAUAAAAAGUGUUGAAGACUUAUUGAAAGAAUUGAGCGCCGAUAGUUGGCGUGCAGAAACUUCUGAACGCUUGAAGAAUAACUGGAAACCAUAACACAGCAAAACACUUGCUAUCAAUAAUAUACCAAUACAUACACAUGUCUUUGUGAUUUUAAACUUUUCAAAUAUUUCGCAAGUGUAAAGCAUUCAACAAUGUAGACGGCAAUGCAGUUAGUAAAACCAUCUCAGGAAAUGAA